CUGGAACUACGCUCCCGUCGUGCUCCGCGGCUCCAGGCGGAGACGAGGCGGGGCAGGCCGGUUGCUAAGACUUGGCGAGGCGAAGCGCCCGCGCCCGCGUCCCUCAGGCGGCUGCAGGCUUCAGCCCGCGCCGGUCGGCGAGGAAGAGA